UACGGAGGGUGCAAGCGUUGUUCGGAUUUACUGGGCGUAAAGGGCGCGUAGGCGGUCUUAUAAGCCAUAUGUGAAAGCCCACGGCUCAACCGUGGAAGUGCAUGUGGAACUGUGAGACUUGAGUAUGGGAGAGGAAAGUGGAAUUCCCGGUGUAGAGGUGAAAUUCGUAGAUAUCGGGAGGAAUACCGGUGGCGAAGGCGACUUUCUGGACCAAUACUGACGCUGAGGCGCGAAAGCGUGGGUAGCAAAC
rnacentral:rRNA from 1 species